AGAGCGCCCAGCGAUUAUAUUUAGUUUUUUAAAGGUUUAAAGUUAGAGAUCAUCAGCAUCAUCUCUCUUCCUCUGUGGGAUAUUUCUCCUUGCGCCUUGAACUGGGAGGUAAAAUGGGCCCAACAUGGGCUACAAGGCUAUAACAAUUUGUAGUGAUUGGUGAGUAUGAAAGAAGAACGGAGCUGAGCAGAAGGCCUUGUUGUCUAAUUCAACCUGUUUUGUUAAUUAAUCUUCUUUAAACCACUCUAAGUAAAUAAUUGAUCCUUAACCUCCCCUGUUUGACAACCUUAAUUUUGGAUCGAAUACUAAGUCCUGUUUCAUCUAAGAUCUGGUCUGCUUUCGUAUUCUCUACGUGUGUUGUAUGUCUGAUCUUUGGGUGCUUUUCGUCUCUGUCGGGAUUCUGGGAUUCCUUUCACUCUUUCUGGUUUGAGAAAAUUAAAAUUAUUUGAAAAUAAAUAAUUCUACUUUGGGUUUCUCACAAUUAUUGGGUUUAUCUAUUUAUUUUAUUCGUAGCGUAUACAUUUUUUCUUCUUUUAAAUAAAACAAAAAGGGUGCUACUUUAUUAAUGUUGUACGAUACAACAAUAUUAUAAUGUCAAAAUAAACCACUUAUAGAAUGCCAAGUGUCAAGAUAUGACAAGAGAUCUUAGAGCAUGAUUAUCCCUAUAACCCCAUAAGAGUUUCUUAUCACUUUUUUAGUAUUAAAUGUGUGUUAAGAAUUUAGUUAAGAAACAACUAACUUUUUGUCCUCUAUUCAUAGUUUCUUAACUUGAGAGUUCUUAAAAAAAAAGAGUGAAUGAUAAUUAAAGAGAGGAAGAGAAAAUGGAUGACUUUGGUUUAGUGAAAGAAUGCUGACCCAACAACAAGAAGACACAACAACAAGAUGACAUUGUGCCCACCAGGUGCCUGACCUUCAGACAGAACAACACCGAUCUUCAGCUUCUGUCCCGACGAAGCAGCACUCUGGUCUGGUACAACUGAGACAGAGGGCUGACCAUAUAGACCCUGGUCUGAAACAACUUUGCAAUCUCAUCUGCAAUCACAUAAAAGCCAACACUAAAUCUUCCAGAACUCAUAUGAACUAAAUAAACACACAGAGCCGUAACAGCAUUCUCAAAAGCUCCUUGAGACCAUACUUAUACCAAAUCACAACCAAACUAAUACAAGAUCUUGAUUACCUGAAGUUUUCAGCAAGGAGGCAAGCAUUGGUGUUGGAGUCAUCUCCACCGAUAACCACCAAUCCAUCCAAAUCUAGCUUCUUUGCUGUUUCUUCAGCUUGUUUAAACCAUACAUGGGAGCCAACUUACAAUUACACACAAGAUCUAGACUCGUAAUGAGAUCAAUACACAAACAAAUCCAAAUCGAAAAUUUCAUCAGAUCAGACGGAGAAAACCCUAACCUCGGUUCCCGUCGGCGGAGCUGACGAGACCUUCGACGAUUUUGAAGGCUCCUUUGAGCACAGAAGGCAAAGGAAUGGCGAUUGAAGAGAGGAGAUAUUCCCUUCACACAAGCAAUCGUUGACGGAGAAGACAGAGAGGAGGAGAGAAAGAAAAGAAAGAGAAAAGAAAAAAGAAAAAAGAAAAAAGAAAAAAAAAAUCAAAUUUUCCAGUUUGCUGACAAGUGGUUUAAGGACCCUUGUUAUGAUCGAUCACCAAAAUCAUGAAUUAAGGAUCGGUUAUCACCCUUUUAUUUAGUUUUGAUUUAAUUAAUUCACUUAUUUUCUUUAAAACCCAUGUUAAGAAACUGGGAUAAAGAUGGUCUUAUGUUUUAUAUAGUAAGAAGACUUUUGCCCUAAAAUUCCCAAACUAACCAUAAACAUAUGUUCUUUCCUUUUGUGGGCGC
rnacentral:lncRNA from 1 species